rnacentral:tRNA from 1 species
GUCGCAUUGGACUUCUGGUGAGGUCUGCAGGCUUUCAUCCUGCCCAGAGGGGUUCGAAUCCCCUAUGCGACGCCA